rnacentral:sRNA from 1 species
UACUGGAUAACGGUGAUGAUUCAAAUAA